UACAGAGGGUGCGAGCGUUGUCCGGAAUCACUGGGCGUAAAGGGUGCGUAGGCGGGGCUUUAAGUCAGGGGUGAAAUCCUGGAGCUCAACUCCAGAACUGCCUUUGAUACUGAAGAUCUUGAGUUCGGGAGAGGUGAGUGGAACUGCGAGUGUAGAGGCGAAAUUCGUAGAUAUUCGCAAGAACACCAGUGGCGAAGGCGGCUCACUGGCCCGAUACUGACGCUGAUGCACGAAAGCGUGGGGAGCAAACAGG
rnacentral:rRNA from 1 species